UUUUCAUUAAAAAAUGAAUGAAAAAAAAACAUCUUUGAUAUUUUUACCACGAACUACGAGGUUUUGAUCCUCCAUUGCACUUUGUUGGUACGUAGGUAUGAGACUUCAAAAGUCUUGGCAAACACAAAAAUAUUAAGAAAAAACAUACUUCUUUCCCCAUCUCUCCAGUCUUUUGCAAACAACAUCUUUUUCAAACUAAAAUGUACAUAUUUUCAAUGAGGUUCCCAUGGUGUACCAUGAAUGUCUAUGGUGCUAAUACCUUCCCUUUG
rnacentral:lncRNA from 1 species